rnacentral:rRNA from 2 species
AACUUUCAACAACGGAUCUCUUGGUUCCCGCAUCGAUGAAGAACGCAGCGAAACGCGAUAGUUAAUGUGAAUUGCAGAAUUCAGUGAAUCAUCGAGUCUUUGAACGCACAUUGCGCCUUUUGGUAUUCCGAGAGGCACGUCUGUUCGAGCGUCAGU